CUGUGACGUAACAUUAGGCUACUACUGACCUUCUGACAACACGUCAGAAGGAGUAUCAUCUGCUUCCGGACUGCGGAUGACCACAGCAGAUCCGUGUGACUUGCAGAGGCCUGGCAGGCUCACUCUUUGGACUGCCCUGCUACAGCUCCUACUGGCCUUGUAUCCAACUGCUGCCAACGGAGUCAUCUACCAUUUGAGGCCAGUUGCCAUCACGGUCACCAAGGUAAACAGUGCCCUGUGCUUUUGCAGGAGGAGAAGCCAAGCGUUCUAAUGAGCACCAAGUAGAGAGCAAGGAGAGAGUCUAAACCCAGGAGGUAUGAUGUGUGCAACCAUAAUGGCUGAAUCGGAGCAUGACUGGCUUCUCACAACCUGGAGCAGAUUCAGGCAAUCUCAGGAUCUAGACCAUUGAGCAACUCCGUGAAGGCCUGUGCGGCACUGCGACAGCGCUGCUCGAGCAAAGCCGUGUAACCAUCCUGGAUUAAGCUUCUCAGCAUUUUCAUUAUAUUAGCAAAAUCCUGUAAAAGAAGAAAUUCUACUUCAGUAAUCCAGAGCUAUAUGCGUUCCGUCUGAAACUUAAGAUGCCAAAGUUCAUCAUAGGGCAUUUAUAUUUUACAACUGAUCAUAAACCCCCAAAGUUAUGCUUUAUGCAUUAUACUUUCUCUACAUGGCACCUUUAAAGCAAAAACCUAAAGGUACUACUUCACCAUCUUAUUUUCAAUACUCCUACUGCUGCUGACAGGAAAGGGUGGUUCAUUUUACACUGUAUGGUUCUAAGCCUUGCUCACUUCUCCAGACCAAACAGACAGCAUUCAGAAGUUUUAACAGCACAAAUGGAGAAUACCAGCCACCAAUUUAAGUAACUGUUUGGCUGGCACUAGAAUUAGACAAAUAAGAACAAGAAAUCAAUUUUCUGAUCACUAUCAGACUUUAACAACUGCCCUCGUGCUCUGGAAUUAAACCUUAAUUCUUAGCAAGAAA